AGGGAAAUAGCUCAGUGGUAGAGUACAUGCUUAGCAUGUACAAGAUCCUGGGUUCAAUCCCCAGUGCCUCCA
rnacentral:tRNA from 1 species